AAUAAUGUAGAAAAAUGUGAUAAUUGGUAGUAAAUUGUAGAAUCCCAUGAAUCAUCGAGUUUUUGAACACAAUUUGCAUUUAAGGCCUUGGUCAUGGACACAUUUGUUUGGGUGUUG
rnacentral:rRNA from 1 species